rnacentral:rRNA from 1 species
CGACGCCGCGUGAGGGAUGAAGGCCUUCGGGUUGUAAACCUCUUUCAGCAGGGACGAAGCGUGAGUGACGGUACCUGCAGAAGAAGCACCGGCUAACUACGUGCCAGCAGCCGCGGUAAUACGUAGGGUGCGAGCGUUGUCCGGAAUUACUGGGCGUAAAGAGUUCGUAGGCGGUUUGUCGCGUCGUUUGUGAAAACCCGGGGCUCAACUUCGGGCUUGCAGGCGAUACGGGCAGACUUGAGUGUUUCAGGGGAGACUGGAAUUCCUGGUGUAGCGGUGAAAUGCGCAGAUAUCAGGAGGAACACCGGUGGCGAAGGCGGGUCUCUGGGAAACAACUGACGCUGAGGAACGAAAGCGUGGGUAGCAAACAGGAUUAGAUACCCUGGUAGUCCACGCCGUAAACGGUGGGCGCUAGGUGUGGGUUCCUUCCACGGGAUCUGUGCCGUAGCUAACGCAUUAAGCGCCCCGCCUGGGGAGUACGGCCGCAAGGCUAAAACUCAAAUGAAUUGACGGGG